UACAGAGGUCCCAAGCGUUGUUCGGAUUCACUGGGCGUAAAGGGUGCGUAGGUGGUCGGGUAAGUCUGAUGUGAAAUCCCGCAGCUCAACUGCGGAAUGGCAUUGGAUACUAUUUGGCUAGAGGGUUGGAGGGGGGACUGGAAUUCUCGGUGUAGCAGUGAAAUGCGCAGAUAUCGGGAGGAACACCGGUGGCGAAGGCGGUUCUCUGGGCCUUACCUGACGCUGAGGAGCGAAAGCGUGGGGAGCGAACAGG
rnacentral:rRNA from 1 species